rnacentral:lncRNA from 1 species
ACAAAGUCGGAAUUGCUCUAGCUUUAACAACAUCAUACAUUGUUGAUCAAACGUUGCUUCUCCAGCCUUUGGUAUAAGAUACGAUCUCCUCGAUAAGGCAUUGGAUGGUCGUUGCUGCUUUCCAGGUCAAUAAGUGAUAACAAAAUCGAACCUAGACAGUGACAUAUUCCACCGAGCUUGACGUCGAUUUAGAACUCGAGCCGACAUGAAAUACUCUAAAUUCUUAUGAUUUGUGUAUA